rnacentral:rRNA from 1 species
UCCAGACUCCUACGGGAGGCAGCAGUGAGGAAUAUUGGUCAAUGGGCGCGAGCCUGAACCAGCCAAGUCGCGUGAGGGAUGACGGUCCUAUGGAUUGUAAACCUCUUUUGUCAGGGAGCAAAGGGCGCCACGUGUGGCGUUUUGCGAGUACCUGAAGAAAAAGCAUCGGCUAACUCCGUGCCAGCAGCCGCGGUAAUACGGAGGAUGCGAGCGUUAUCCGGAUUUAUUGGGUUUAAAGGGUGCGCAGGCGGAAUGUCAAGUCAGCGGUAAAAUUUCGGGGCUCAACCCCGUCGUGCCGUUGAAACUGGCGUUCUUGAGUGAGCGAGAAGUAUGCGGAAUGCGUGGUGUAGCGGUGAAAUGCAUAGAUAUCACGCAGAACUCCGAUUGCGAAGGCAGCAUACCGGCGCUCAACUGACGCUGAAGCACGAAGGCGUGGGUAUCGAACAGGAUUAGAUACCCGCGUAAC